rnacentral:lncRNA from 1 species
AGCUGCGAUACGAAUUCCUAGUUAGCCACCUUGCUGGUCCAGGAAAGACAGCAGAAACAGAAUAAAGGAAAGCUAGAAAGCAAACAAAACAAAGCAAUGUCAAGCCCGCAGUUGGCUGUUGUGAGCUUCUGUGGUGCCAUUGUGAGCUGCGUGGUGCCGUUGUGAGCUUGUGUGGCGCCGUUGGGAGCUGCGCGGUGCCGUUGGGAGCUGUGCGGCGCUGUUGUGAGCUUGUGUGGUGCUGUUGGGAGCUGCGUGGUGCUGUUGGGAGCUGUGCGGCGCUGUUGGGAGCUGUGCGGCGCUGUUGUGAGCUUGUGUGGUGCUGUUGUGAGCUUGUGUGGUGCUAUUGUGAGCUUGUGUAGUGCUAUUGUGAGAUUGCAUUGCAUUGUUGUGAGCUGCAUGGUGCUGUUGGGAGCUGUGUGGUGCUUUUGUGAAGUGCAUGGUUCUGUUGUGAGCUUCAUGUUGCUGUUGUGAGCUUGUGUGCUGUUGUGAGCUUGUGUGGUGCUGUUGUGAGCUGUGUGGUAUGAGCUUGUGUGGGGCUGUUGUGAGCUUGCAUGGCAUUGUUGUGAGCUGCGUGGUACUGUCGUGAGCUGUGUGGUGCUGUUGUGAGCUUGUGUGGUGCUGUCGUGAGCUGCGUGGUACUGUCGUGAGCUUGUGUGGUGCUGUCGUGAGCUGUGUGGUGCUGUUGUGAGCUUGUGUGGUGCUGUUGUGAGCUUGUGUGGUGUUAUUGUGAGCUUGUGUGGUACUGUCAUGAGCUGUGUGGUGUUGUCAUGAGCUGUGUGGCGCUGUUGUGAGCUGUGUGUUGCUGUUGUGAGCUUGUGUGGUGGUGUGAGCUUGUGUCGUGCUGUUGUGAGCUGUGCGGUGUUGUGAGCAUGUUUGGUGCUGUCACGAGCUAUGUGGUGCUAUUGUGAGCUGUGUGGCGCUGUUGUGAGCUUGUGUGGUGCAGUUGUGAGCUGUGUGGUGCUGUCGUGAGCUGUGUGGUGCUGUCGUGAGCUGUGUGGUGCAGUUGUGAGCUGUGUGGUGUUGUCGUGAGCUGUGUGGUGCAGUCGUGAGCUGUGUGGUGCAGUCGUGAGCUGUGUGGUGCAGUCGUGAGCUGUGUGGUGUUGUCGUGAGCUGUGUGGUGCUGUCGUGAGCUGUGUGGUGUUGUCGUGAGCUGUGUGGUGCUGUCGUGAGCUGUGUGGUGUUGUCGUGAGCUGUGUGGUGCAGUUGUGAGCUGUGUGGUGCUGUCGGGAGCUGUGUGGUGUUGUCGUGAGCUGUGUGGUGCAGUUGUGAGCUAUGUGGCGCUGUCGGGAGCUGUGUGGCGCUGUUGUGAACUGUGUGGUGUUGUGAGCUUGUGUGGUGCUGUUGUGAGCUGCGUGGUGCUGUCGUGAGUUUGUGUGGUGUUGUGACUGCCCAGGGUGACGCAGCGUUGACCGAUGAUGAGGCACCUGAUACAGAUAAGUCCUAACAUAUUCCCUGGUGCAAUUUACCAGAAAGGCUGAAAGGCUGGGCCGCACUGCAGGGUCCCUCACCAAGGGAAAAUCUCCCCAGGGCAUGGAUGGGGUUUCCGGCUGUGUCACGUGGCUCCUGCCACCACUCAGUGAAGCCCUAAGGGUCCUCUGGCUUUAGAGUUUGAUAAUUUGCUCCGAUUGCCUCUAACAGAGGGCCUGUCUCCAUCCACCCCAUCACCACAGGUGGGUCAGUCGCUCCAGGUGGGACAGACAUCGGCUGCACAAGGACCACGGCAAAUCUGCCCCCAGGACGCUUCCAAAGAGGGCAGUGGGGUCACUCAGUGCCCGUGAACGCUCAGGGUCACUCAACGUCUGUGAACGCUCAGGCACCAUGCUGAGUAGCCACCAGGUCAGCAGCCCCGGGUGCGGCCCCCAGACAGGAAGGGUGGGCUCCUGCUUUAGCCUGGCAUUGUCUUUGCUUCUGUUCUUCCUUCUGGUGACUUCCACCUUGGAACCUGGGAGCUGGAACGGUGCACACCCCAGUGUUGUCAGAAACAUCCUCCAAAGCCUCCAUACACUGCUCCCCUUGGAAGGACAGGAAGAGGCUCUAUCUCCGACUCCCUGAGGGAUCUCACCCCUGCUGGGCAGGAGUCGCCUUCAGCAGUAAAGCACCUCCCUGUGUCUAUGGAAGUGUCUUCCACGCUCACCUGAUAGAGUUCGGAAGCAGAACACACAGCCCGUGCAGCCGUCCGCAAAGCCGCUUCUGUCUCAGCACCAGCUCAUCAGGGCAGCCCAGCACUCGGGCAGCUCCGCCUUGGGGAGAGUCCACACAAAUGUGCUUCACUUUUAAAUACUCAACAGAGGAAGAGAUCAGGACACUUCUGGAAGAUUGGCUGGGUUGCGGCAGAUGGUUUUGGUAAAUGCCAGACCUUUAACUCAGUGAAACGGCAAAGUCGGGAAGAAGAACCCACUGGCAGUGUUUGGAGUCACCCUCAGCCAUGGACAUGAACUCAGGGACGGAUGGUGCUGGCACCUUCAUGAGCAGAGCUGGUCCCAAACAGCAGGAGAAAUCGUUGGAAGGGUGACUUCCCCAGAGCUCCCGGGAAUACUGGAAUUCAGGCCUCUCACCCCAGCAUUGCGUAAGGUGUAUAAUUAACUGAAUAUACACAACACACACAGACGCUUAAAUCUGGGGACUUUCCUUUAACACUGAAGAUAUCUGGUUACUCACUGCAGAUAUCCUCGCACCAUCCCAGAGGUGACCAAUGCCCUAUUUUCCUUCUGGGGUGACAUGAGUUCUUGGGGGCACUUCCCUCUGGGCUCAGGUAUUCUUAUUUCUAAGGCUCCACUUUCUGCUCCCAUCUUCAGACGCACCCAGGGAAACUCUCUGGGCUUUGUCGUAAAUGAAUGGCCUCUCUCCUUUAUGACCCUGGUCUCACCCUCCUGCCUUCCAGGUGGCCAUGGGAUGCCCGUCCUCUUUCUCACCCAGACUCUCUCUCAGGCCCCGGUGUGAGCUGCAUCUUCUGAGGCCGCCGUCUCCCUGCUCCUGUGUGAUUUGCUGCUUCUCCUGUUGUCUGGGAGUCUCACUCUGUC